rnacentral:rRNA from 1 species
GAAUAUUGGACAAUGGGCGCAAGCCUGAUCCAGCCAUCCCGCGUGCAGGAUGAAGGCCCUAUGGGUUGUAAACUGCUUUUACAGGGGCAGAACCCCCCGACUUUAGUCUGGUUUGACGGUACCCUGGGAAUAAGCACCGGCUAACUCCGUGCCAGCAGCCGCGGUAAUACGGAGGGUGCAAGCGUUAUCCGGAAUCACUGGGUUUAAAGGGUGCGUAGGCGGCAUGAUAAGUCAGGGGUGAAAGCCCGCAGCUCAACUGUGGAAUUGCCUUUGAUACUGUUGUGCUUGAAUCAGGUUGAGGUUGGCGGAAUGUGGCAUGUAGCGGUGAAAUGCAUAGAUAUGCCAUAGAACACCAAUUGCGAAGGCAGCCGGCUAGACCUGAAUUGACGCUGAGGCACGAAAGCGUGGGGAGCGAACAGG